rnacentral:pre_miRNA from 1 species
ACACCAAGGGCCUGAUCCAAAAUCCAUUGAAGUCAAUGGGAGUCUUUCCAUCGACUUCAGUAGGCUUUGGAUCAAGACCUAAAACU